ensembl:lncRNA
CUCUCCUCCUUCCCUCUGCCUUCUGAGGCACAGGGAAGAUAAGUCACUUGGUCACAGCAAGUUAGAACCACUUGGACUCAAGAGGAGACCUCCAGGCUGGAAGCCCUUACACUUCACCCUUGUGCAUGGGAUGAAGAUUUUCUGGAUACUGACGUGAUGAUGAACAUGAUGACAGCUACCGCUCCCUGAUCACCUGCUGUGCUCAGUCCUCAUUACCUACCCGAUUUUGUAAGUGUGAGUACACACAGAACCAGACUGAGACAUAGAAGUGCUCCUGCUGCUGCUGCUGCUAAGUCGCUUCAGUUGUGUCCGACUCUGUGUGACCCCAUAGACGGCAGCCCACCAGGCUCCCCCGUCCCUGGGAUUCUCCAAGCAAGAACACUGGAGUGGGUUGCCAUUUCCUUCUCCAAUGCAGGAAAGUGAAAAGUGAAAGUGAAGUCUCUCAGUUGUGUCUGACUCUUCACAACCCCAUGGACUGCAGCCUAGCAGGCUCCUCCAUCCAUGGGAUUUUCCAGCCUCAGUUUCCCUACUUGUAAAAUGGGGCUGAUAAUAACACUUCGAGCAUCAAGCUCAAAGUGUUCUUGAGAAGAUUAAAAAACUAAGCCCCAGGGCUUCCCUGGUGGGUCAGUGGUGAAGAAUCUGCCUGCCAAAGCGGGGGACACAGGUUUGAUCCCUGAUCUGGGGAGAUCCCACAUGGAGGAGCUGCUACGCCCGUCAGCCACAACUAUUGAGCCUGUGCUCCAGAGCCUGGGAGCUCCAACUACUGAGCCUUAUGUGCAGCAACUACUGAAACCCACACACCCAGAGCCUGUGCUCUGCAGCAAGAGAAACCACCACACUGAGAAGCUACUGCAAAGAGAAGUCCGUGCACUGCAACCAGAGAGUAGCCCCCAGCUCUCCGCAGAUAGAGGAAAGCCCGGGCAGCAACAAAGACCGAACACAGCCCCCCACCCAAAAAAGUAUUAGUAGUGAUAAGGAUGGUAUUAAAAACAAAAAAACAAAAAAACCCUCCCAGACGUGAUGCUUAGCUCAGUACCUGGCACUAGGAAGUGGCCAAGUACUACAGCUGUAGGAUCAGAGAUAAAAUCACGAUCACGUAGCCCAUUGAGUGGCUCCAGUAAAGAAUGGCUUUCAUGAACACUGCUCUGCCUGUUCUGAGCGUUACCUUAGCCAGUGGGUGAGUGGGAGAGUUGGGGUACCUUUUCGCAGCAACCUGCCUCCUAGCAGCCCCCACCUAAUCUUAAAAUCUCAGGGUAGGGUUGCCUGGUGGGGCCCCUGGACCUGUAAAACACCUCUGCUGUUGCCACCACUUUAGAGGAAGGCCAGCUCUCCCAACACCCCUCUGUCACCCUCCCCGCCAGAGUAGGCUUCCUCUUAGCACCCGACCCACGUGGCUCCAAGGACCUCUGCAAUCAGGGCUGGCAGAGGAGGGUGAACCCUCCCACUUCUCCAGGGAGCUCCUGAGAGAACCAGCUCCUCUUCCUCUAGCGGGUGGAGACAGAGCAAAUAUUCUCAGUUCUAUUUUGCUUCUCUUUCUUUCUGGCAGGGUGUGGACAUUGGUGUAAAAUUACAACUGAGGAGGCCCCCACCCUAGCAGAGAGGUGCAUCUGGUGAGAAUGGAAGUUCACCUUGUAAGUCCUGGUUCUUCGUCUCUGUUCCCUUUGGAAAGUGGGCUUCUAAACCUGGAACCUUCAGAUUUCACUG